GUAAUCUUUGCUUACAUCUGGUAUGCUGCCGAUGGGGAUGGCAUCUUCGGGGCAGACUUCAGGGUAAUAUUGAGCUUAAGAUGUUGUUUUGGGGGUCUUGUACGUAAUCUUCAAAAGCUGAACAAGAAUCUUGAGCAAACCUGCAUAUGGCGGGCACGAGGUUCUUAGCUUGCAAGGUUCACAAGGAAAAGAAAGGGUGGGAAAGCAAAGAUCUCGCAUUGUUUACUCACGUGUGAAGGGAAAAAUCAAAGCCAGUCAAAACCCAGCACAGAGCUGUUAAGAUCCAGCAGAAACAUAUUAUGCUGAAAUGCAGGAAGAGGAACACGAUGGAAGCAAAUAAGCAUAAGGCAGAAGUUUACAUCUUAAAUGAAAUAUAGGGUGAAGGAGAAAUUCAGAUUUUUCCUUACAAGAUAAGUCCAGGGUGCCAAUGCGACAGAAGCAGAACUGAGCCAAAGCAGCAAUCCAUUAGUCUAAUCAAGUUAGUUGUGGUUGUGCACUCUUUAGAAUCAACCAGAUACUAAUAUAUUGUUUAGAACCAGAAAAUGAGUAAGCAAUAGACUUUCAAAAACAGAAUUCUGGAUUGAA